CCUUUGUGUCCCCCCCUCCCCCGAGAGAGAAAGUGCCGAGAGAAAGUUAAAGGAACACUUUUGGGAUGUUGAGGUACCUAGUAUCACCUCUGGUUCGUCUGGAUUCUCUCGAGCUCUAAUGGCGUAAGUACGAGCUGGAGCUUUCGGUUCAACUCGCGAUAUAGCCUCUGACAUAGCUCUUUGACCUUCUCCAGCUACAAAGCUUGGUCCUGUAUUUUGUCUUUUCUAUGGAGUGAAUUCAGAUUUUGGAGUGACUAUGGCAUCAUUAUUCUUUGG